rnacentral:rRNA from 1 species
GGGGGAUAUUGCGCAAUGGGGGAAACCCUGACGCAGCAACGCCGCGUGAAGGAAGAAGGUCUUCGGAUUGUAAACUUCUUUUGUCAGGGACGAAGAAAGUGACGGUACCUGACGAAUAAGCUCCGGCUAACUACGUGCCAGCAGCCGCGGUAAUACGUAGGGAGCGAGCGUUGUCCGGAUUUACUGGGUGUAAAGGGUGUGUAGGCGGCCGAGCAAGUCAGUUGUGAAAACUAUGGGCUUAACCCAUAACGUGCAAUUGAAACUGUCCGGCUUGAGUGAAGUAGAGGUAGGCGGAAUUCCCGGUGUAGCGGUGAAAUGCGUAGAGAUCGGGAGGAACACCAGUGGCGAAGGCGGCCUACUGGGCUUUAACUGACGCUGAGGCACGAAAGCAUGGGUAGCAAACAGGAUUAGAUACCCUGGUAGUCCAUGCCGUAAACGAUGAUUACUAGGUGUGGGGGGACUGACCCCUUCCGUGCCGCAGUUAACACAAUAAGUAAUCCACCUGGGGAGUACGGCCGCAAGGUUGAAACUCAAAGGAAUUGACGGGGGCCCGCACAAGCAGUGGAGUAUGUGGUUUAAUUCGAAGCAACGCGAAGAACCUUACCAGGUCUUGACAUCCUGAGAAUCCUUAAGAGAUUAGGGAGUGCCUUCGGGAACUCAGAGACAGGUGGUGCAUGGUUGUCGUCAGCUCGUGUCGUGAGAUGUUGGGUUAAGUCCCGCAACGAGCGCAACCCUUGCUAUUAGUUGCUACGCAAGAGCACUCUAAUAGGACUGCCGUUGACAAAACGGAGGAAGGUGGGGACGACGUCAAAUCAUCAUGCCCCUUAUGACCUGGGCUACACACGUACUACAAUGGCCAUUAACAGAGGGAAGCAAAACCGCGAGGCAGAGCAAACCCCUAAAAAUGGUCCCAGUUCGGAUUGUAGGCUGCAACCCGCCUACAUGAAGUUGGAAUUGCUAGUAAUCGCGGAUCAGCAUGCCGCGGUGAAUACGUUCCCG